CCGCGUAUGUCAGUCCCAUUCCAGUGUACCUCAUUUUCUUAUAACUUUCUAGUUUCUCGUCGAGAGGGGAAAGAGAGAGAGAUGGCGGGUGCAUUUUGGGGGACAAGGUUUCUGGAGAUAGUGAAGAAGCAUGAUUCAGGUGGUAAGGUCUGGAAGAAAAUAAAGCUUACUCCUACUAGAAAAGCCAAUGCCAAGAAGAGACUUCUUAGGGUUUGGCAGAAUGAGUCAGUCUUGAAGGCAUUGUCUGCAGAACCUCCUUCGGGAUCUGCAGUAGCUGGGGGUACUGGAAAGGAUGAAAACAGCAGCAAUAGCACAUAGCCUUAUGUAACCAGCAAAAUGAGCAUUCACAUCUGAACCUAGUAUGUUCGUGAACUCUUGAUGCAAAUCAAUUUUUGAUAGCAGAAAAAAAUAAUAGAAACAAUCAUUUUGUGGUUUGGUGAGCUGGUAUAAAUUUGAAUGUCCAUUAUCCUAUGUGUGAUGUCGUAUGUUGUGCUGCCAUCACAUUUCAGCUUCUUGGUUGUUGUUAGGGACCUUAAGGUUUGCUAUGAAUCUAGAUACAUUUAGGUUUUACAGUGUUUAGUUUCUAUAGCAGGAAAAUUUCCAGGCAGAAGAUCAUGCAAUCAUGUCUCCUUAAGGCAUUUUGCCGCUGAAGGGUUUGAAACUAAAUGAAGAACUCUAGAUGUUUUGGGUUUUUCUUCUUAUGUUAGUGCAGCCGUUGAGCUUAACUGCAUGAGCCCGAAUUUCAUGAAAUUUCAGUUAGCAAUCAAGUGUUCUUAUAGAUUUAAA